UAUCGUUUAUUGAGGGAACUGUUGUAGGAAAUUUAGAUUAUGUGCUGUCUAGAUCUAGAUGAUCUCAAAGAUCUUCAGGCAGAAAUGCAUCCUACGCUUACCUCUACAUAGACGGAAAAUUCGUCCGAAAAUAUAGGUUAUUUUCCCCUAAGAUUGUUAGGAAUACGCAUGCAUCUCCCUUGUGAAACUUGGAAACGGAAUCCAAAGAUGAAACUGAUUUAAAAAACAAUUAUUUACAUUGUAGACAUUCUAAUAUAAGUCCAUAAAAUGCAUCCCCAGUCGCAUCGCGCAAUAUACUUACCCCUCUCCUCCACUCAUAAGAACAUUUACUUUGUUGUUUAUUUACGAGCUAUACGAUAAUUACGAGUACGAGACGAGUAAGUGGAGGAGGAGGAGCUCCCUCAAGAGUCCCACACGCGUGCCUCUGGAAAUUCCGAAGCCCAAAAACAGAAGCAGAAGCGGCAGCGGCGGCAGCAAC
rnacentral:sRNA from 1 species